rnacentral:rRNA from 1 species
CGUGUAGGCGGACUAGCAAGUCAGAGGUGAAAACCGCAGGCUCAACCUGCGGCCUGCCUUUGAAACUGUUAGUCUUGAGUACGGGAGAGGAAAGCGGAAUUCCAGGUGUAGCGGUGACAUGCGUAGAUAUCUGGAAGAACAUCGGUGGCGAAGGCGGCUUUCUGGACCGAUACUGACGCUGAGGCGCGAAAGCCGGGGGAGCGAACAGGAUUAGAUACCCUGGUAGUCC